UUCCACCUUCCUCUCCUUUCUUCCCUCCCUCUUCCUCCCCACGCUUCCUCUCCUUUCCUCCCUCCCUCUCCCUCCCCCUCCCCCCUCCCUCUUUUCUUUCUGGCUGGUGCAGCUGCUUGGGCCAGCUGUCUGUCUGUCCAGUGCCUAUGCCCCAGCUGUGCAUGGACGUGACACCCACCCAGGUGCGUAGUUGGGCACAGCCCCCAGUGCGUGCUCCUGGACCCCCUGCAUGCAAGGACUGUCCCUCCAGUUACUGGGAGUGCUGUUAGCACACAUCCCUCGGCCGUCGGACCCUCAGGGGCUGCCUCAGCUGCAGAGGCCACUUCACCCAAGGUCAGCUGUCCUCCCACAUCCGAUGACUGCUCCGGGUGCAAAUACCGAAGUCCCGGCCGUCUUGGCCUCACUUGGGACAACUCUGAAGGCCUGUUCUGGCUCCAGAACUCCCUGUAGGGUCAACUGAAACAGUCCUCAGGCCUGCCUCGCAGCUUGACCUCUCCCUCUGCCCAGUCCUGCCUGCCUCUCCCUUCCUCAUUUGACUCCCGGGUGCCCAUUAAUAAACAUCCUGCACUUUA